AUGUAGGUCACUGGUUCAGUCCCAAUCUAGGUCAGCAGUGAUCAGAAACCCCACCAACUCCCUGGGGCUAGCUGAAGGCAACAGGCUGGAGCCAAGGUGCAGCAGGCAGAGGCAUUAAAAAUGAAGCUCUGCUUCUGGAAACAAGGGUUUCAUACCCCAGGGAUGCAUCUGCGGUGGAUGCCCUGUCCUUGGAGACAUUCCCUGAUUGAACUGUAGGUGUUCUUGUUCAUUGCAGGGAGUUGGAUCAGAUGACCUUUAAAGGUCCCUCCAACUCAAACAGUUCUAUGAUUCUACGAUUCUGUUGAUAGAGAUGGAGGAACACAGGAGGUGCAGUGAGUAUCCUCUGCUCCUUUUACUCCAGGAGCUGGAAAAGCAGACGCCGCUGUGCCAAGGUGCUAUGGAAGCAAGACCAAAUGCCGGUUCAGCCAUUGGUCACCAUUAAUUUGCAGAGGGAAGAAGUCCUGACAUCCAACAGAAGCCCUGCUUUCACUGGUGCAACCAGCUUGGGCACCCUCCUGGCUGCGCACAGGCAAGUCCUUCUUUCCCUGUGUAAAGCUCUGCUGAAAGCUGUCAGAUUGGCAAGCUGGCCUGGGACUUCUCCUGCCCCAAACCAGUAAUAUCCACUGCAUUAGUGUCUGCUCUCAUUUAGCUCCUGCAAGUACUGUUGGGCUAUACAGAAUGUUUGACAGUAGAUCCAGUAGGUUGGGUUCAUGCUUUACACAAAAACCUCUGAGAUCUUGCAAGUUUUCAGAGAAAGCUGUG